GUGCUCAUUUCAGCAGCACUUAUGCUAAAAUUGGAAUGCUACAGAGAAAGUUAGCAUGGCCCCUGUGCAAGGAUGACAUGCAAAUUCGUGAAGAGUUCCAUUUCUUU